GCACGCAGUUUGCUUGAGAGUUUCCUGCGUUUUCUGAGUUCUUUGUGUGCUUCGCUGUGACAUCUUUGGAAUAUUCCUGCGUGUUGCUCGCUUUUUAUGGACUUGUUGCCUCGAAGAUCGCCAUGAUCGCCUCCGACUCAGCGACAUCAAGGAUUCAAAAUGAGCUGGGAGAGGCCCCAGCUGGAACGGUUCACAUAGGUUGAAGGAGUGCACAUUGAGAAGGUUAUCCUGGCACAGUUUACCAUGGCCUGCCAUGGUGGACCAGGAAAGUUUGCAAGGGCCUUGCUUCACCAUGUGUUCACAGAGGAGGAGCUCAUGGGCCAUUU
rnacentral:lncRNA from 1 species